rnacentral:snRNA from 1 species
GUGCUCACUUCAGCAGUACAUAUACUAAAAGUGGAAUGAUACAGAGAAGAUUUGCAUGGCCUCUGCCCAAGAAUGGCAUGCAAAUUUGUGAGACAUUCCAUGUUUUU